AUGCAUAAACAAGGGAAUGUGACUUGUAGAAUCCAUCAGUCAAGUGAUUCCAAUAACUUAUACAAUUGUCUGAUACCGACGAAAAUCAGGCAAGCAGUUUCUGAAACUGCAACGCUACAAGUUGAGCACCGAGAGAAGGACAGUGGCUGUGAAAACCGGCGCCAAAGCAGAGGUUGCCGCAGCCGGCAGUGCCACAGUACCGCCGUUCUUGGUGUUGUGCGGCCCUGUGUCUGCGGCGCCACCACCGGUGUUCCUACCGCUGCCCUCUCCAGAGCCGCCUGCCAUGCGCCCGACCUUCCUGGGAGUCUGUAUCCUCUCCCCUUGGGUUUCUGCAAAGUGAAAGGCGGCAAUUCAUGCUUUUGUAAGAGAUUUUGCUUCAUGACAAUCAAGAAAUUAGAGAGCAAAGAGGAGAUGGAUGCACACAAAAUACCAACCAUGUUGAUGAGGCCUCAGAUGAUGAUGAGCUGCAUCCUCCUCGGCCAUGGCGCUUCUCGCCGCUGCUGCACACCAUACGCCAUGGGAAGCAAAGGUGAGGAGGAGGACGAGGGCGAGAGUGCCUUUCCUCAUCUUGGGGAUUGA
rnacentral:rRNA from 1 species